GUUGUUGUGGCCGAGUGGUUAAGGCGAUGGACUUGAAAUCCAUUCCCCGCGCAGGUUCAAAUCCUGCCAACAACG